rnacentral:lncRNA from 1 species
ACACAUGAUCUCUCGGCCAGUGGAUUCCAAAGGUUAUGACCUUUUGGAUUCUUAACUAUUUAUUCCUCUAUCAAUCUACUGUUAUCAAUUAAAUUAUCUAACUAUCAGUCUAAUUCUCAAGUUUAUCAAUAACCAACCAGUAACUUAUCACAAAGUUUAUUUACCUAUUCUACAUAGCCCCACUCCUAAUUGUGCAGCGUCCUUGUAAACAUUAUUUAGCCUCAAUUUAUAAAGAUGUAACAGCAUGGGCUUCUUGAGUCAAUGGCAUUGGCUUAUCAUCCUUUGAAUUGGUGACCUUUUCUUGUACUACAUCUUUGUCGUCUGUCUCGGUUAUCUAAGGUUCUCCAUCCAAACGUGCCAUCAGAUCUUCAUUCAACAAACAUAAUUUCUGUACUUGAGACUCACGUCAGACAAUUUGGUUGUCACACUCCUCCAACAUCUUCUGCCAUUCUUCUGUUGGUUUCAAAGAUAUCUCUGAAGGUGUUGUCGCUGAAACUGGCGUAUUGGUCCGCACUAAAUUAUUCACCUCCUUUGCUAAUGCAGCUAGUUUAGUCUCCAACAUCGCAACCUUUACUUGUAGCCGUUCUUGCUAUUCCUUUCAUUCAGUGUCCAUCCUU